GAAACGUUUAAAUUGGGCAAACCUUGAGGUCGUAUUAACCUCAGAAGUGAAAGCAGGUGUUUAUUUUGUAGGGCCCUGCAGGAGGAAGUCCGUGUCUGUUUUCAUUGCGGGUGUUUUGACAGCAGUGUCUGCAGAUGUGCGCCCUGCCGCCCUCCUCAUUCCUCCGACAGCUCCUGUCUCAUGUGAGCAGAAAGCUGCAGCGGUGAUUCAACAUGUGACCGCCCGGGCGGACCGACGCGAUGGGGAUGAAGGACUCUGAUAAACAUCCAUAACCAAAUUCAUGGAUUAUUAUGGGUCGGAUCUGGAUCUGCUGCCUACUUGUUCUGCGUGUUUGUUCGGCGCUGCGUGAAGACGACGGCGCGUCCUGCGAUGGAGCGUUUGAUAUUUAUUUUGUCCUGGACAGGUCAGGCAGCGUGUGGGGACAUUGGAAUGAGAUCUACGGGUUUGUGGAGCAGCUCACCACUAGGUUUGUCAGUCCCCGGAUGAGGGUCUCCUACAUUGUCUUCUCAGCUCAGGCUGCUGUGAUACUUCCCCUAACAGGAGACAGGUCCAACAUAGAUCACGGUCUAAACAGGCUGAAGCAAAUCAUUCCUUCUGGGGAAACUUACAUGCACGAAGGUUUAAAAGCGGUGUCUGAACAAAUGAAAACACAAACUUCACCCUCAUCCAGCAUUAUUAUUGUGCUGACUGAUGGCAAGCUGGAUAUCUACCCCUAUGAACUCAGCGUACAGGAGGCUGAUAACGCCAGAGCCUUUGGAGCCAGAGUGUACUGUGUUGGAGUCAUGGACUUUGACCCCAAACAGCUGGAAGACAUAGCAGACGGCACAGAGCAAGUCUUCCCUGUUAUGUCUGGCUUUCAUGCCCUCAAGGAUAUCGUCAGCAAGAUCCUGAAACAGUCGUGCAGUGAAGUGUUCACAAUAGAGCCAUCUAGUGUUUGUGUAAACGAGUCUUUUAACGUGGUUCUGAGGGGUACUGGCUUCAGCGGAUCCAAGAGGAUAGACAACAUUCUCUGUGUUCUUUCGGUCAAUCAAGCAGUUUACAAUGAGAGGCCAACGGUUGUUGAGGACGGCUACCUGCUGUGUCCAGCUCCUCGUCUCCAAGAAGUCGGACAAUCACUGGAAGUGCUGGUUAGCUUGAAUAAUGGAAAAUCCUACAUCUCUGGUCCCAUCACCAUAUCUGCUACGACAUGCUCAGAUGGGACCUGGGUGUUGUGGCUGCUGCUGGCCUUGUUGCUGUUACUGAUUCUGGCUUUACUGUGGUGGUUCUGGCCUCUCUGCUGCACUGUGGUCAUCAGGGACCCACCCCCCUCCCGACCCCCUCCUCCACCUCCUGUCAUUGAGUCAGAGGAGGAUCUUUUAUCCAAACACAAGUGGCCUACAGUGGAUGCUUCCUACUAUGGAGGAAGGGGUCCUGGAGGAAUCCGACGCAUGGAGGGUUAUCAUAUUUUGCUCAGAUCUGGCAUUUCACUUCGAGUAGGUGCGAUGGGGUCAGAAGGGAUCCACCGAGGAAGGGUCACGGCUGGAGAAGGCUAAAAAUGCUGUAGUCACCAUGCCGGAGGAGGUGGAUGAACCCAUCGUCCCUCGGCCACCACCGAGACCUCCUCCAGUCUACAACUCCCCGUCCCAGUCCAAAUGGUACACCCCCAUCAAGGGGCGUGUUGAUGCACUGAUGGCUUUACUGAGGAGACAGUAUGACAGAGUGGCAAUCAUGAGGCCAACACCUCAGGACAAGGGUCGCUGCAUCCACUUCACCAGAGUUCAGUCUCGCUGAUGUGAAAAGAACGUGGUUCAACUUUUGCUUUUUUACCUUUUUGGCCAAAGAUCACCAACGUGUCCUUCUGAAACUGCUCAGAACUUUGUGCAUUGUAAAUAAACAGCUUAACAGACAAAUGA